rnacentral:lncRNA from 1 species
AAGGGGGAGUAGCCCAAUGGUUGCGGUCGGAGUGACACGUCCACCAAACAGAGUUCGAAUCCUGAUGGGAGUCGAAUAUCUUGCAUUUCUCGCUAAGGAGGCCUUAUAAAUAAAUUGCCAUUCCAAUUUUUUUUAUCCGUCCGCAAUUACCUCAUCCUCCUCUGCCCCCGAUUCCUUCUCUCCUCGCAGCAGCCCCCGCCCCCUUCUCAAAGCUCCGCCAUCCCCGUCCUGUACUCCCUUGGAAAAGAUCGAUUUUUUUUCGACGGGAGGAGUCAUUCCGGUUUGAUCCGUCCUGUACUCCCUUGGAAAAGAUCGAUUUUUUUCGACGGGAGGAGUCAUUCCGGCUUGAUCCGGUGGUGGCGAUGCCGGCCAGAUCCUGCGACGGCGCCGACGCGAGCCACCAAGGGCCGUGGACUCCCUCUCUGGCUGCGCUUCCGCCAAACCCUAGCGGCUCGGCGUCCUGGCGACCAUCUCCGAGGUGGUUUCUUUCUGCAGCAGCCAGCCCAUGGAGAAGGCCCGGACAAAUUCUCGGAGCAGUACGCCCGCCGCUCCAGCACCUUUCCUCACCGCCGUCGUCAUUCAAGGUCACCCCCAUCCUUUAAUCCUUUUCUAUGCAUCAUCAUGCGUAUUUGUAUUUGUGCUACACCAUCAUGCUUCUUUUUGCUGCUCAAUCAGAUUAGAAUCAGCAAUUAUGGAUCUUUGUUGCAUAUGGUGUAAAUUUGUGCGUUGCAUAAAUGUGUCAAAAUUAAAAACUGUUAACAUGUUCAUAUAUUUUUAUCUUCUCUCCACUAAUACUGAAACAAUCAAUGUUGCUCAGAGUUGCUUGAUAUGUCGUUCAAGUCCAUCACAGCUGCUUGGGGAAGUGGGGAGCUAGUUAACUGUGGUUUCACAUUAUCUGAGGCAAAGUUGUAAUAAGUGAGCGACAAGUAAUAUGGAUCGGAGGGAGUACCUAAAUUGGAGUUCAGAAAAUUAUGAGGCAUCUCUACCCAACUAGAGAGGACAGAUUAGAUUAGGCC